rnacentral:rRNA from 1 species
GACGAACGCUGGCGGCGUGCUUAACACAUGCAAGUCGAACGGAAAGGCCCUGCUUUUGUGGGGUGCUCGAGUGGCGAACGGGUGAGUAACACGUGAGUAACCUGCCCUUGACUUUGGGAUAACUUCAGGAAACUGGGGCUAAUACCGGAUAGGAGCUCCUGCUGCAUGGUGGGGGUUGGAAAGUUUCGGCGGUUGGGGAUGGACUCGCGGCUUAUCAGCUUGUUGGUGGGGUAGUGGCUUACCAAGGCUUUGACGGGUAGCCGGCCUGAGAGGGUGACCGGCCACAUUGGGACUGGGAACCGGCCCAGCCCCUUAGGGGGGGCAGGGGUGGGGAAUUUUGAACAAGGGGCGGAGGCCUGAUGCAGCACCGCCGCGGGCGGGAUGCCGGCCUUCGGGUUGUAAACCGUUUUCGCCUGGGACGAAGCGUGGGUGACGGUAAUGGGUAAAGAAGCACCGGCUAACUACGU